rnacentral:rRNA from 1 species
UGGGGAAUAUUGGACAAUGGGCGAAAGCCUGAUCCAGCCAUGCCGCGUGUGUGAAGAAGGUCUUAUGGUUGUAAAGCACUUUAAGCGAGGAGGAGGGUACUGGUAUUAAUACUACCAGGUACUGGACGUUACUCGCAGAAUAAGCACCGGCUAACUCUGUGCCAGCAGCCGCGGUAAUACAGAGGGUGCGAGCGUUAAUCGGAUUUACUGGGCGUAAAGCGUGCGUAGGCGGCUAAUUGAGUCGGAUGUGAAAUCCCCGAGCUUAACUUGGGAAUUGCAUUCGAUACUGGUUAGCUAGAGUGUGGGAGAGGAUGGUAGAAUUCCAGGUGUAGCGGUGAAAUGCGUAGAGAUCUGGAGGAAUACCGAUGGCGAAGGCAGCCAUCUGGCCUAAUACUGACGCUGAGGUACGAAAGCAUGGGGAGCAAACAGG